GCCUACGGGGCGCAGCAGUGAGGAAUAUUGGUCAAUGGGAGAGAUCCUGAACCAGCCAAACCGCGUGAGGGAAGACGGCCCUAUGGGUUGUAAACCUCUUUUGUCGGAGAACAAAACCCGGGACGUGUCCCGGACUGCGUGUAUCCGAAGAAAAAGCAUCGGCUAACUCCGUGCCAGCAGCCGCGGUAAUACGGAGGAUGCGAGCGUUAUCCGGAUUUAUUGGGUUUAAAGGGUGCGUAGGCGGUCCGUUAAGUCAGCGGUAAAAUUGCGGGGCUCAACCCCGUCGAGCCGUUGAAACUGGCAGA
rnacentral:rRNA from 1 species